GUGUCUAUACCUGGAGUCUACGGUGUGAUCCGGCGGUGACCACGGGCUCGGGGUGUCUGGCGGGGUUAUAUUAUACAGGGUGUUCACAGAAUUAUUAGAUGGCGUUUGUGGUUAAAAUGUAAAGGGAGGUUCUGUUCUUCGUUCAUCCGUUAUGUGAUUUUCAUUGAAAGUGGAUCUACCGCCGUCUGACUCAGGUGUAUACCUCCCUCUACAUCCCUGUGAACAUAGCGUCAUCGAACUGCAUCACCUCCAUGCUCCCCAUCCCCUGCCACGGUCACCCAGCCACACUUCUCUGUCCACAGUAAGGAUGUGCAUGUGAUACCCAUUGGCAAGGGACGCCUCUACAGUGUGGGCUGCUGGCCAGGAGAGGGGUCGACUUUGUUCUAACGGGGCUGAAAGAGGGAAGGAGAGCUGGAGAGCAAGGUGGUAAUUGGAGGAAGAGGAACCAAGUUGGGUCUCGGUUUAAAAUGUGCGAACUUGAGGUUGUCUGACUCGAGAGGAAGACGAAGAACUUGAAUUUGAGCUUGUUUUUGAAGACAAAAGUACGAAUUUGUUUUGAAUGAGGAUAAUCGUAAGCCGUUCUUGUUUUCCCGGUCAUUUGACAGCGUUUCUAGACGAGGGACGAAGUGAAAGUUUAUCUUAUCGAGCACCAGAAACUCUCUCGAAGGUCAUACUGGAAGUCAUAGAUCAGUAUACCCAAAGAAAAUCAGAUCUAGAAAAAAAGGAAAAGUGCUCAAAACAACUACAUGUACCUAACGUAACUACAGCGAAAGGACGCCCCAGAGGUGGUUCUUGUUAGAGAAAAAAAGGAACUGAAGUCGGCACCGCCAUGGUCACAUGGGACGCGGGAGUUCGAGCUCUCAACCACGGGACCAAAGAUGAACUGCAAAUCAUAGGCUGGCAGCCAGACUUACGGAAGCAGUUGCUGACCGCUCUGCUGACUGUGCUGACGGGGGGGUUGCUGCUAAUCCUGAUAACAUGGCGUCCGUCCAUCAAGCUGUGGCUGACUCACAGGAGGUGCGAUGACAGCGAGGCAAAGCGAUU